UGUUUGGAACAUAAUUUAUGUUCACAUUUAAUAAUCAAGAAAUGUUUGCAAAAAACCUGAUGACCUACGCCAAAGCGUAGCAUACGUGCUCAGAGAUAAUCAAUUGUUUCGCGUCAAGUAAAUUAAUUUACGCUGAUUGCGUUUCAUUAGUUUAACUUCCAAAUUGAUUAAUUUCCUUUGUUGCUGGACUAUCACCAUAUUCGCGACGUGAUUGAUUAAUCAAUCUCGAUUCUAAAUCGCACAGUACGUUUCACUUUUUGUCAUCAUCAUUGAUAAUUCGUGCAGUAGAGAACACAUUCCUCAAGUCACCGUAAACAUUUGGGGAAAGAUAGUUGUUCAGAAAAGUUUGCGUGAUGGAAUACAACGCAAAAAAUAAAGUUGAUCAUUUACAAAAAAACAACAACACGGAAUUUCCUGAUGAAAAGUUUUGUCUUUUCAUCGAAUUUUGAGAACAUAAAAAUGUAUCAUAAUAAGUGAGCAAGAUAAUAACUGUAAACCUAACAAAUACAUAUUCAUCAUUGUAUGAAACAAAAAAGAUACCAAAAGUUGUUCAAGUCAAUCUGAUAUUGAUAAACUCGCAAGAGACCGCAUGCUACUUUAAUACCACUGAUCAAUUAUAAUCAGAAAGAA